ACGAGGCCCGAUUACCAGACUAACUCCUGAAGACUGCAUAACGCCGGGGAUGUUGGCAUGCGAGGAGUAUGGAGGUAGCCAGCGAUGGAACUUGAAGCCAAGGAAUGCUCAGACACCAGAAUCCUGUGAUGGAGCAUUCGAAUCUCGUUUAUGUUGCUGAGUUUGUCAACACCAUGCCCCUGUUCGUGGUUUCACCAAAGCGGUAAACGUACCACCGCCAUAUAGCUGGGAUAUUGCUGAGUGCGGCGUUAAACAACAAACACACAGUAAGGAAAAGCAAGACAAGGCAAGACAGGGAAAGACAAGGCAA